UACGUAGGGUGCAAGCGUUGUCCGGAAUUAUUGGGCGUAAAGGGCUCGUAGGCGGUCUGUCACGUCGGGAGUGAAAACUCAGGGCUUAACCCUGAGCCUGCUUCCGAUACGGGCAGACUAGAGGUAUGCAGGGGGAGAAUGGAAUUCCUGGUGUAGCGGUGAAAUGCGCAGAUAUCAGGAGGAACACCAGUGGCGAAGGCGGUUCUCUGGGCAUUACCUGACGCUGAGGAGCGAAAGUGUGGGGAGCGAACAGG
rnacentral:rRNA from 1 species